rnacentral:rRNA from 1 species
AGAAUCAACGCUGGCGGCGUGCCUAACACAUGCAAGUCGCACGAGAAAGGGACUUCGGUCCUGAGUAAAGUGGCGCACGGGUGAGUAACACGUGAAUCAUCUACCCUCGAGUGGGGAAUAACCUAGAGAAAUCUGGGCUAAUACCGCAUAAUACUUACGAGUCAAAGCAGCAAUGCGCUUGGGGGAGGAGUUCGCGGCCGAUUAGCUAGUUGGCGGGGUAAUGGCCCACCAAGGCGAUGAUCGGUAUCCGGCCUGAGAGGGCGCACGGACACACUGGAACUGAAACACGGUCCAGACUCCUACGGGAGGCAGCAGUGGGGAAUUUUGCGCAAUGGGGGAAACCCUGACGCAGCAACGCCGCGUGGAGGAUGAAGUAUCUUGGUACGUAAACUCCUUUCGAUGGGGAAGAUAAUGACGGUACCCAUAGAGAAGCCCGGCUAACUUCGUGCCAGCAGCCGC